AUUGUAAUAACCCAGCCAAUUGGGUUAAUUUUUUUUCCAAUUGGUUUUCUAAUUCCUAAUUAAACCAGCUCUAAGCCCUCCUAUAUAAACCUCCUAAUCCCAGAAAACCCUAAUCUUUCUCUCUUUUCUUCCCAGCCAUCUUCUCUUCUCCUCGUUCUCCAAUCCGUCGAGCAUCCUCCUCUCCUCCUCCAUGGCGUGAUCCUGAUCCUCCUCCUUUCUCAUUGCCUCGUCUCUGCUAUUUCCUUCCCUCUUCUUCUCUCUCUCUAUUGUCCUCUUCCUCUCUCUUCCGUGCCGUCAAUUUGCAAGGUGAUUAUCUGGCGAACCGUGAGGAUACAUGAUAUAUCAGGUUUUUAUGGUUUUGACCAUGAUAUAGGUCUUAUUUAUAGAGUCUUUUUAGUGUUUUUUGAGUCUUUUGGAGUCUUUACAGGUCUUAGGUACGUUUGGAGCUUAACUGGAGAUUUUGGAGCAUUUUGGAGCUAAAUUAGGAUCAAAUUCGCGAAGGACAAAUCAU
rnacentral:lncRNA from 1 species